AUGAGGAAGCAUGUCUGCCUGUUAAUUGUCUAUCGCAUUUUCUAUUUUCUUCUUUAUUCUAGAUUGUAGCAGCAACCUUCCCUCUGGUUAAAUUGGAAGAAAGUGGCUGGAGAGAGCUCAGAUACAGAGCUGAAAACAAAGACAUCCAAACCUUGAGCGAUUUAGAAGAGGAAGAAGCCAAACUCUGUGCCAAAGGUUUGACUGCUGGGUUUACUCAUGGCUUCAGAUGAAGAGAAGCCCUGUACAAUAGCAUGGAGACCCUGAGGAUUGGAGAUAAUUUUUCUCCUUAUGCAUUUUCCCCUUCUUUGCAGAUGGAUGCACCAAGCAAAUGUCAGCUAGGGUACUGGGCUCAAGUCUUGACUUCCAGGUUUAGGCAGCUUUCCUCUAUCACUUCAAGGUACUUCUUUACAUGCUUAUGGGCUUCCACUGAACACAUUAACAAAGCUCCUGCCACUAGGCUUGUGGGAGUUGACGAGAUCACAGCCUAAGAAAAGUUAACACUAUUAAGAUAAGGACUUGAGAAUUGAACCUACUUACCAAAUUUGUUUCUCUUGUCAUUA